AACGAUGUACACUAGGUGUUGGGGUAAGACUCAGUGCCGGAGCAAACGCAAUAAGUGUACCGCCUGGGGAGUAUGCCCGCAAGGGUGAAACUCAAAGGAAUUGACGGGGGCUCACACAAGCGGUGGAGCAUGUGGUUUAAUUCGAUGAUACGCGAGGAACCUUACCUGGGUUUGACAUCAAGAGGAAUACUGUAGAGAUAUGGUAGCGUGCUUGCACGUCUCUUGACAGGUGCUGCAUGGCUGUCGUCAG
rnacentral:rRNA from 1 species